CCUACGGGAGGCUGCAGUGAGGAAUAUUGGUCAAUGGGCGCGAGCCUGAACCAGCCAAGUAGCGUGAAGGAUGACUGCCCUACGGGUUGUAAACUUCUUUUAUAAAGGAAUAAAGUGAGGCACGUGUGCCUUUUUGUAUGUACUUUAUGAAUAAGGAUCGGCUAACUCCGUGCCAGCAGCCGCGGUAAUACGGAGGAUCCGAGCGUUAUCCGGAUUUAUUGGGUUUAAAGGGAGCGUAGAUGGGAUGUUAAUUCAGUGGUGAAAGUUUGCGGCCUAACCGUCAAAUUGCAAUUGAUACUGGCUGUCUUGAGUACAGAUGAGGUAGGCGGAAUGCGUGGUGUAGCGGUGAAAUGCUUAGAUAUCACGAAGAACUCCGAUUGCGAAGGCAGCUUACUAAACUGCCACUGACAUUGAUGCUCGAAAGUGUGGGUAUCAAACAGGAUUAGAUACCCUUGUAGUC
rnacentral:rRNA from 1 species